rnacentral:rRNA from 2 species
UCUAAGGGCUGUGAAGCGAGACCGGAAGGACUCGUGGAGCGCUUAGAAGUGAGAAUGCCGGUAUGAGUAGCGAAAGAGGGGUGAGAAUCCCCUCCACCGAAUGCCUAAGGUUUCCUGAGGAAGGCUCGUCCGCUCAGGGUUAGUCGGGACCUAAGCCGAGGCCGAAAGGCGUAGGCGAUGGACAACAGGUUGAUAUUCCUGUACCACCUCCUCACCAUUUGAGCAAUGGGGGGACGCAGGAGGAUAGGGUAAGCGCGGUAUUGGAUAUCCGCGUCCAAGCAGUUAGGCUGGGAAAUAGGCAAAUCCGUUUCCCGUAAGGCUGAGCUGUGAUGGCGAGCGAAAUAUAGUAGCGAAGUUCCUGAUUCCACACUGCCAAGAAAAGCCUCUAGCGAGGUGAGAGGUGCCCGUACCGCAAACCGACACAGGUAGGCGAGGAGAGAA